GUGUCAGCAGCCGCGGUAACACGGACUGUGCGAACGUUAUUCGGAAUCACUGGGCUUAAAGCGUCCGUAGGCGGCCGUGCAGGUGGGGUGUGAAAUCCCUCGGCUUAACCGAGGAAUGGCGCUCCAAACCACACGGCUUGAGAGAGAUAGAGGUAAGCGGAACUCACGGUGGAGCGGUGAAAUGCGUUGAUAUCGUGAGGAACACCGGUGGCGAAAGCGGCUUACUGGGUCUCUUCUGACGCUGAGGGACGAAAGCUAGGGGAGCGAACGGGAUUAGAAACCCCCGUAGUCC
rnacentral:rRNA from 1 species